rnacentral:lncRNA from 1 species
CAAGAGGCUGCCGGAAGGGAAAAACGGGGACUGGAAAGGCCGUUGUGAGGAAUGAGCUGGGCCUAAAGAGGCCACUGGCAGGCAGUAGCUGGACCUGCCGAAGUGGCCGAAAGGCAGGAGCUUUGGACUGGGGAGGUCACAGUGAGGCGAGAGCUAGCUGGGCGUGGAGAGUCCGCAGUGAGGCCGAGGCCGAGGCCGGGCCCGUGCAGGCCUUCGAGAGGCAGGAGGCCGGGCCUGCAAAGGCCGACUGGAGAUCAAGUUCUGCGCCUGAAGAGGCUGCCAAAAGUCAAAAGCGGGGCCUGGGAAGGCCGCCGACAGCCAUGAGCUGGGCUGGGCCGAAAGAGGCCACUGGGAGGCAGGAGGAGCUGGGCCUGGAGAGGCUGACUCGAGGAAGUUUUGCACCUGGAGAGGCCGCCGAGAGGACGGAGCUGGGCCCGGGGAGGCCGACUUGCUGCUCUUCCAGGCCCACUUCCAGGCUGACUUGAGCCUGCAGAGGCCGCCGGGAGGCCCAAGCUGGGCCUAGAGGAGCCCACCAACCGGAGGCCGUUUGGGGCCUGCAGAUGCCAUCAGAGGGCAGGAGCUGAGCCUGGAGAGGCCACCGCGAGGCCUGAGCUGGGCCUGGGGAGCUUGGCUUAGGGAAGUUGUGGGCCUACCAGGGCCGCUGGGAGCUGAGUCCAAAGACGUUGUUGAGACCUGGAGUCGGCCCAGAGUCCGGCCCGGAGAUGCAGCCAGGAGGAAGAGCUGGGCCCGGAGAGGAUGCCGGGAGGCUGCAAGUGCGUCUGAGAGGCCAAUUUGAGGAGGCCUGGCCUCCGCCUCCCGCAUGGCCCAGCUGUUCCUCCUGGCUGCAUCUCCCACCUCCCAGCAAACAAGCUCUUUUGGCUCAGCUCCCGCCUGCGUUUGUAGACCCCAAAGUUUCUGCAACCAAGCUCUUCAGACCCACAUCCCUUCUCCCAGUGACUGAACAGUCCCAGCUCCGGCUGGAGACGGGCGUCUGCAGACCCCGCUGUUGCCGCCCAGGGGAGUCUCCAGGCCCCUGGGAGGCAAGGGCGGGGCCUGCAGAGGCUGUUCCCCAACCAGUGCUAGGCCCGUACAGGCCACCAGGAGGCAGGAAGUGGGCCCUCAGAGCUUGGCUGGAGAAAGUUCGGGGCCUACAAAGGCGGUUGGGAGCUGGGCAGGAGUUGAGCCAAAAGAGCUUGCUUACUUGCUGGGAGGCAGGCCCGGGAGAGGCCGACUUCAGGACAACUUGGGCCUGCGGCGGUUGCCGGGAGGCCCCAGCUUGGCGUGGAGGAGCCCACCAACCGGAGACCAUUUCGGGCCUGGAGAUGCCAUCGGAGGGCAGGAGCUCAUCCUGGAGAGGCCACCGUGAGGCCUGACCUGGGCCUGGGGAGCUUGGCUUGAGGAAGCUGUGGGCCGACCAAGGCCGCCAGGAGAUGGAUAGGCACUGAGUCCAAAGAGGUUGUUGAGAGGCAGAAGUCGGGCCUGGAGAGGUCAACUUGAGGAGAUUUUGGGCCUUCAUAGGCCACCAGGAGGCAGCAGUUGGGACUAGAGAGUCUGACGUGAGUAAGUUUUGGGCCCGGAGAUGACGUCCUGGAACAGGAGUUGGGCCUGGAGAGGCCACCGUGAGGCAUAAGCUGGAUGUAGAGAGGCCAGUGUGAGGCAAAACCUGGGCCUGUCUAGGCUGCUGGGAGACAGGCAGGAAUCUGGCCAGGGAAGGUUGCCAUGAGACAAAAGUUGGGCCUGGAAAGGCCCUUGUGAAGCAUGAGCUUCGCCUAAAGAGGCCACUGGGUGGCAGGAGCUGGGUGUGUAGAAGCUACUGAAAGGUUGGGAGCUUGGCUUGGGGGGUCCACAGUGAGACAGAUGCUGGGCGUGCAGAAUCUGCUGUGAGGCAGAUGUUGGGAAUGUAGAGGCUGACGGGAGGCAGAGGCUGGGCCUGGAGGGGCCACCAAGAUGCAGGAGCUGGGCCUGAGGAGGCUGCAAAGAAGCAUGAGCUGGGCCUGGUGAGGUCGACUUGACAAAGUUCAGGGCCUGGAGAGAAGGCUGGGAGGCAGGAGCUGGGUCUAAAGAGGCCAUUGUAACGAUGGAGCUGUGCCUGUGGAGGCUGUUGUGAGGCAGUAGCCUCAUCUGCGGAGACUGCCGUGACGUAGGGUAUGGGCCUAAAUAGGCCAUGGUGAGUCAUGAGCUUGGUCUGUAGAGGCUGACUGGAGAAAGUUCUGGGCCUGGAGAGGCUGCCGGGAGGUAGGAGCUGGGCCAAAAGAUGUAAGCACAUUUGCAUU